rnacentral:tRNA from 1 species
GUCCAUGUAGCUCAAUUGGAUAGAGCAUCGGCCUCCGAAGCCGAAGGUUGCAGGUUCGAAUCUUGCCAUGGACG